CUCCGUCUAACAAUUUACUCUCCUCGAUCCACCAAUGCAACGCGGUUGGAAUAUUGUUCAACGUGGCUGCAAGACUGGGCCCGAAAAGAUAGCCAGAUUGAUCCUGAAAGAAAAUGUUACCGUGGAUUCGGAUUUCGUGGGUUCGUUAAAUGAAGAUACUGAUACCUUCGUUGUCGCAUGGCUCUCUGGGCCCUUGUACUAGGAGAUGGUAUUAGCAACGGAUGCGGGUUAAUACCUGAAAAAGAAUACACGUCUAUAAACAUUUACUUCGAGAGGUACUUACAAUUUUGUAAAUAAAUAGAUAUGUAUGCUAUGAGUUCCU